rnacentral:rRNA from 1 species
UUAAGUUGCAGGGUAUAGACCCGAAACCCGGUGAUCUAGCCAUGGGCAGGUUGAAGGUUGGGUAACACUAACUGGAGGACCGAACCGACUAAUGUUGAAAAAUUAGCGGAUGACUUGUGGCUGGGGGUGAAAGGCCAAUCAAACCGGGAGAUAGCUGGUUCUCCCCGAAAGCUAUUUAGGUAGCGCCUCGUGAAUUCAUCUCCGGGGGUAGAGCACUGUUUCGGCAAGGGGGUCAUCCCGACUUACCAACCCGAUGCAAACUGCGAAUACCGGAGAAUGUUAUCACGGGAGACACACGGCGGGUGCUAACGUCCGUCGUGAAGAGGGAAACAACCCAGACCGCCAGCUAAGGUCCCAAAGUCAUGGUUAAGUGGGAAACGAUGUGGGAAGGCCCAGACAGCCAGGAUGUUGGCUUAGAAGCAGCCAUCAUUUAAAGAAAGCGUAAUAGCUCACUGGUCGAGUCGGCCUGCGCGGAAGAUGUAACGGGGCUAAACCAUGCACCGAAGCUGCGGCAGCGACGCUGAUGCGUUGUUGGGUAGGGGAGCGUUCUGUAAGCCUGUGAAGGUGUGCUGUGAGGCAUGCUGGAGGUAUCAGAAGUGCGAAUGCUGACAUAAGUAACGAUAAAGCGGGUGAAAAGCCCGCUCGCCGGAAGACCAAGGGUUCCUGUCCAACGUUAAUCGGGGCAGGGUGAGUCGACCCCUAAGGCGAGGCCGAAAGGCGUAGUCGAUGGGAAACAGGUUAAUAUUCCUGUACUUGGUGUUACUGCGAAGGGGGGACGGAGAAGGCUAUGUUGGCCGGGCGACGGUUGUCCCGGUUUAAGCGUGUAGGCUGGUUUUCCAGGCAAAUCCGGAAAACUAAGGCUGAGGCGUGAUGACGAGGCACUACGGUGCUGAAGCAACAAAUGCCCUGCUUCCAGGAAAAGCCUCUAAGCAUCAGGUAACAUCAAAUCGUACCCCAAACCGACACAGGUGGUCAGGUAGAGAAUACCAAGGCGCUUGAGAGAACUCGGGUGAAGGAACUAGGCAAAAUGGUGCCGUAACUUCGGGAGAAGGCACGCUGAUAUGUAGGUGAAGUCCCUCGCGGAUGGAGCUGAAAUCAGUCGAAGAUACCAGCUGGCUGCAACUGUUUAUUAAAAACACAGCACUGUGCAAACACGAAAGUGGACGUAUACGGUGUGACGCCUGCCCGGUGCCGGAAGGUUAAUUGAUGGGGUCAGCGCAAGCGAAGCUCUUGAUCGAAGCCCCGGUAAACGGCGGCCGUAACUAUAACGGUCCUAAGGUAGCGAAAUUCCUUGUCGGGUAAGUUCCGACCUGCACGAAUGGCGUAAUGAUGGCCAGGCUGUCUCCACCCGAGACUCAGUGAAAUUGAACUCGCUGUGAAGAUGCAGUGUACCCGCGGCAAGACGGAAAGACCCCGUGAACCUUUACUAUAGCUUGACACUGAACAUUGAGCCUUGAUGUGUAGGAUAGGUGGGAGGCUUUGAAGUGUGGACGCCAGUCUGCAUGGAGCCGACCUUGAAAUACCACCCUUUAAUGUUUGAUGUUC